rnacentral:lncRNA from 1 species
UUAAUAUCUACCUUUUCAUCAUUCACACCAUUCAAUCAAAUUUCACGGGUUUAACAUCAACAUUUUCAUCAUUCACACAAUUCAAUCAAAUUUCAUGGCUUUAACAACAACAAUUUCAUCAUUCACACAAUUCAAUCAAAUUUCAUGGGUUUAACAAUGACAUUUUCAUCAUUCACACAAUUCAAUCAAAUUCCAUGGUUUUAACAAUGACAUUUACAUCAUUCACAUAAUUCAAUCAAAUUCCAUGGGUUUAACAAUAACAUUUUCAUCAUUCACAUAAUUCAAUCAAAUUUCAUGGGUUUAACAACAACAUUUUCAUCAUUCACACAGUUCAAUCAAAUUUCAUGGGUUUAACAUCUACCUUUUCAUCAUUCACACCAUAUAAUCAAAUUUCACGGGUUUAACAUCAACAUUUUCAUCAUUCCCACAAUUCAAUCAAAUUUCAUGGCUUUAACAAUGACAUUUUCAUCAUUCACACAAUUGAAUCAAAUUUCAUGGGUUUAAAAUCAAAAUUUUCAUCAUUCACACAAUUCAAUCAAAUUUCAUAG